rnacentral:ncRNA from 1 species
AUUACGCAAUGGGGGUGCCUUAAUUAAUUAAGGGCUGAGAUUAUACCCACUGAACCUGAUCCGGAUAAUGCCGGCGAAGGGAGGGCAAACGGGCUCCG